UAAGCAGGGUAUGAAAUCGUAAGGCUCAACCUUACAACUGUAUUCUGAACUGGCAAACUAGAGUGUGAUAGAGGUAGCUGGAAUUUCUAGUGUAGGAGUGAAAUCCGUAGAUAUUAGAAGGAACACCGAUGGCGUAGGCAGGCUACUGGAUCAUUACUGACACUGAGGCACGAAAGCGUGGGGAGCGAACCGGAUUAGAUACCCGGGUAGUCCACGCCGUAAACGAUGGAUGCUA
rnacentral:rRNA from 1 species